rnacentral:misc_RNA from 1 species
UGGUUCUGGCAUCGAUGAAGAACGCAGCGAAAUGCGAUAAGUAAUGCGAAUUGCAGAAUUCAGUGAAUCAUCGAAUCUUUGAACGCACAUUGCACCUCUUGGUAUUCCAGGAGGUAUGCCUGUUCGAGCGUCAUAUAAAAGCCCUCAAGCGCUGCUUGGUAUUGGGUGUCACCCUGUGGUGCGCCUCAAAGUCAGUGGCAGGCCAUCCGGCUCCAAUGCACAGUAGUGAUCUCUCUUGCUCCUGGGCUGGGAUGUCGCCUGCCAAUACCUCCUAGUUAAAGGUUGACCUCGAAUCAGGUAGGGUUACCCGCUGA